rnacentral:sRNA from 1 species
UAUAACUGCAUGUAAAUAACAGAUUAAUUGAAUAUCUCUGUAUUUUUUAAAUUAUGAUGCGCUUUUGCAGAGUGCGAUGGUUAGACAAGUACCAUUGCACACACCAGAAGGCUCAAUGGGUAUAUCACAUGACUAGUAGUAGAUUCAGGAUCCCAGGUUCUAGUCAUAGUCUCGAUGACAAUGAAGUCAAUGAAUUGAUCAGAGAGAUCUUUGAUGAUGAGGAAUUAUUGGAAGAGGAGCAAAAGGAGGAGGAGGAGUAUGAAGAUGGAAAUGAAAUGUGGAAUGAGACACGAGAAAACUAUGAAGAUGAAUACUCUCUUCUGAGAGAGAGAGAGGAGAUUUGUUGUUGGAAAAUGGAUUUCCACACCAUUUUAUGGAGGCGGAGCUUCAUAAGUAUUUUACUACAACUCAUGGUGCUUCUCACAGAUGCACACAUCAGACAGGCCAUUAUAUACAGUUGUUUACUUAUGAUAACUUCAAAUCUAUUCAAAAACUUUGUCAUCAUUUAUUGAAAGCUUUGAAGCUGAGUG